ACUUCGGUUUCGACCAACCGUUCACGCUUUUCCUUUCACCUUUCUGAACUCUAUUCCCACUUCCUUUCACCUUUCUGAACUCUAAAACUUAUCUUCCUCAUCUUGAAAGCAUCACCACUAUGGUCAUGAUAUGCAUGACAUGGGAUACGAGGAUGGACCAGUUGAUGAUGUUAUGGUAGUGGAUGGAUUUUUAUUCGGGGGGUAAAGAAGUUGAAUUGAUUUGAUGUGGGACAUAAAUUUUGGGGAUGAGAAGCAGUUUGUUAAAUUAACUUAUCAUUUUUCCAUUAAUGUAUGCAUUUUCGUUAGGAUUUUACUAACAUCAGUGCCAUAAUGUAUUCUUUUUAUGUACAUUAAGGAUGAGCCAGAACUCCUGUUAAUGGUGAAAGAAAGUUGUUGGCAGGAAUCAAACGCAACAACAAAGAAAGUUAUAGAUUACGUACUAUCUUGAUGUUACUUAUUGUCCCAGGUUAUGAGUCAAACUGGAAAUGCUAAUCGGUAGUUUAGCUGAACAAAAGCCUUCAAUAAGAGAACUAUUCCUCGGGCUACAACGUUCUAUGGUGUCUAUGAGUGCUCCGUUUAUGGUAGAGAAUUGUAGGUAAAGAUGUAAAAUGGGACAACAGAGACUUUACGAUGGACUUCGAUGGGUAGGUUAAAGAUGUUUCUAAGCAGCUUCACCAAUCUCCCUUUUUACAGCCUUUCUCAAGUAACAUUGAGAUUAUAUUAUCGGCAAAAGCUUCACAAGUCAGGAAGUCAUAUAUGGUCUCACCAUGGGUGCAAGGAUAUGGAAGGUGAAUAUGAUGUCUUUACUGUUGAGGGGUGACUUAAUGCAUUGGUUAUCUUAUUUGGUGUGGUAAUCGAAGGAAACACAAUCUGUGUCUUUUUAGAGGAAUGGUAAUUGCAAGCUACAAACGCUUUCGAGAAGCUAAUGUGCGCGGAAGCGCAACUAGAUAAUAAGUGGCUGAAAGAAGAGUACAUAAUGAAGUCUCAAAGUUUGACUUUGAUAGGAACCAAGACUGAGCUAAACAUAAUGAGUUCUGUAGCGGAUGGCAGCCAAAGUCCAUUUGUGAAGGUGCAAUGUAACCCCAAUAAAAUUUUCAAUGGCAACAUUCACCUGCUGCUGCAGAAAAAAAAAUGUUGUCACAAUUCAAGUUUUACAUUGGUCAAUUAGCAGUGGACAUGUAUGCAUACAUAUAUCUUUGACCCUACUAAAAAAUAUCUUUAAUUGUUGAACAGAUUUUCGCA